rnacentral:rRNA from 1 species
UACGGAGGGAGCUAGCGUUAUUCGGAAUUACUGGGCGUAAAGCGCACGUAGGCGGCUUUGUAAGUAAGAGGUGAAAGCCUGGAGCUCAACUCCAGAAUUGCCUUUUAGACUGCAUCGUUUGAAUCAUGGAGAGGUGAGUGGAAUUCCGAGUGUAGAGGUGAAAUUCGUAGAUAUUCGGAAGAACACCAGUGGCGAAGGCGGCAUCCUGGACUGGUACUGACGCUCAUGAGCGA